rnacentral:rRNA from 1 species
CGUAGGUGGCAAGCGUUGUCCGGAAUUAUUGGGCGUAAAGCGCGCGCAGGCGGUUCCUUAAGUCUGAUGUCGAAAGCCCCCCGGCUCAACCGGGGAAGGUCAUUGGAAACUGGGGAACUUGAGUGCAGAAGAGAAGAGCGGAAUUCCACGUGUAGCGGUGAAAUGCGUAGAGAUGUGGAGGAACACCAGUGGCGAAGGCGGCUCUUUGGUCUGUAACUGACGCUGAGGCGCGAAAGCGUGGGGAGCAAACAGGAUUAGAUACCCUGGUAGUCCACGCCGUAAACGAUGAGUGCUAAGUGUUAGAGGGUUUCCGCCCUUUAGUGCUGCAGCUAACGCAUUAAGCACUCCGCCUGGGGAGUACGGCCGCAAGGCUG